rnacentral:rRNA from 1 species
UACAGAGGUCUCAAGCGUUGUUCGGAUUCACUGGGCGUAAAGGGCGCGUAGGCGGCCGUUCAAGUCGGGGGUGAAAGCCUGUGGCUCAACCACAGAAUGGCCUUCGAUACUGGACGGCUCGAGACCGGAAGAGGUCAGUGGAACUGCGAGUGUAGAGGUGAAAUUCGUAGAUAUUCGCAAGAACACCAGUGGCGAAGGCGGCUGACUGGUCCGGUUCUGACGCUGAGGCGCGAAAGCGUGGGGAGCAAACAGG